rnacentral:rRNA from 1 species
UACGUAGGGGGCAAGCGUUGUCCGGAAUUACUGGGCGUAAAGCGUGCGCAGGCGGUUCGCAAAGACAGGUGUGAAAUCCCCGGGCUUAACCUGGGAACUGCGCUUGUAACUAGCGGGCUAGAGUACGGCAGAGGGGGGUGGAAUUCCACGUGUAGCAGUGAAAUGCGUAGAGAUGUGGAGGAACACCGAUGGCGAAGGCAGCCCCCUGGGCUAGUACUGACGCUCAUGCACAAAAGCGUGGGGAGCAAACAGG